rnacentral:misc_RNA from 1 species
GAUGAAGAACGUAGUGAAAUGCGAUAAGUAAUGUGAAUUGCAGAAUUCAGUGAAUCAUCGAAUCUUUGAACGCACAUUGCGCCCGCCAGUAUUCUGGCGGGCAUGCCUGUCCGAGCGUCAUUUCAACCAUCAAGCCCCGGGCUUGUGUUGGGGACCUGCGUCCGACGCAGGCCCCGAAAACCAGUGGCGGGCUCGCUGUCCACACCGAGCGUAGUAGCUAACCUCGCUCCGGAGUGGCGCGGGCGCCUGCCGUAAAACCCCCCAAUUUUACAAGGUUGACCUCGGAUCAGGUAGGAAUACCCGCUGAACUUAAGCAUAUCAAUAAGCGGAGGA